AUACGGAGGGGGCUAGCGUUGUUCGGAUUUACUGGGCGUAAAGCGCACGUAGGCGGAUCGAUCAGUCAGGGGUGAAAGGCCUGGGCUCAACCCAGGAACUGCCUUUGAUACUAUCGAUCUAGAAUCCGGGAGAGGUGAGCGGAAUUCCAAGUGUAGAGGUGAAAUUCGUAGAUAUUUGGAAGAACACCGGUGGCGAAGGCGGCUCACUGGACCGGUAUUGACGCUGAGGUGCGAAAGCGUGGGGAGCGAACAGGAUUAGAAACCCCGGUAGUCC
rnacentral:rRNA from 1 species